CGCGCGCGACGCAGGACAAAUCGGAGCUUGGGAAAUCUCCCCGUCCCCCAAGCUUCAGAGGGGGGUAAAAUCAGAAAAUGUGUGUGAUGGUGGGAGAGAGAUCCGGGCGCGGCGACUCCUCGCAGCGCAUCCGGCUCCCGCACCCACCCGUGGAUCUGGCCACGGCUGUUGCGGACUCGUCUCGGGAAAGCGGAGGCCGAGCGCGCGUAGGGGUGCGUGUCUGGCUGGGGGUGCGCAGGGGCGGAAACAAGACAGGAGGCGGCUUGGGAAAAAGUGGAGCAGAAAUGGAAAAAUACAAACUCACCCGCUGCAAAUGGUCUCUCGGUGCAAACUAAGGUGUUUUCGGGCCUUUCCCCGC
rnacentral:lncRNA from 1 species